rnacentral:rRNA from 1 species
GACGAACGCUGGCGGCGUGCCUAAUACAUGCAAGUAGAACGCUGAAGGAGGAGCUUGCUCUUCUGGAUGAGUUGCGAACGGGUGAGUAACGCGUAGGUAACCUGCCUGGUAGCGGGGGAUAACUAUUGGAAACGAUAGCUAAUACCGCAUAACAGUAGAUGUUGCAUGACAUUUACUUAAAAGGUGCAAUUGCAUCACUACCAGAUGGACCUGCGUUGUAUUAGCUAGUUGGUGGGGUAACGGCUCACCAAGGCGACGAUACAUAGCCGACCUGAGAGGGUGAGCGGCCACACUGGGACUGAGACACGGCCCAGACUCCUACGGGAGGCAGCAGUAGGGAAUCUUCGGCAAUGGACGGAAGUCUGACCGGGCAACGCCGCGUGAGUGAAGAAGGUUUUCGGAUCGUAAAGCUCUGUUGUAAGAGAAGAACGAGUGUGAGAGUGGAAAGUUCACACUGUGACGGUAUCUUACCAGAAAGGGACGGCUAACUACGUG